rnacentral:lncRNA from 1 species
GUAGUAUCUUCAAUAUGAAUGUUUCUUUUUCUUAAAGCUUCCCCGGUAGGAAUCUUAUCCAUUUAGAGAUUCACACAGUUUUGGAAAUUAAAAAACGACAUAAAUCAAAACUGGUAAAAUAAUAAUUGUUAAAGAGUUUGGCCACUGAGGCUAUGGCCCAGUGGUUGAGGGAAAACCUUCUAGGUGUUUAGAUAGAAGGAGGUUAUUGGUUUAAUACCUGGGGAAUGUAACAUUUAGCCGUUAAAAAAUUGUUAAAAGAGUUUGAAAACAGGGCUCUAGAUUGUGGAAUUCGGGUCCAAUAAUCAACUACAAGUCCGUUAACUCUUGGAUCAACUACGUACACGUGUAUACACUACAUUACAUGUAUAGAAAAAGGUAUAAACUAAAAUAGAUUAUAUUGUUUUAUAAUAGUAAAUUUCAAGUGCAUACACUAAAAGGAAAUCCUGAUCCACCACUACACACCAUAGGUAACUCUUAAUAAAACAACAAAUGUGGCAAAACAAACUAACAAACAACACCACCAAAACACAAAGAGCCUAUGAAACACCAAGUUCCAUACAUAAGACAACACUAAUCAUCAGUAGUUUGACCUAAUUUCCCUAAACACCAACCGCGAAUCCCGUCAAUCGGCUUCAAAAGAACGCUCGACUCCCAUAAAACACUCGUGGGCGGUCCCCAUUUGGUGUCUGAGCGUUCUGACCCGAACUCGAGUUUCCAGAACUCGUCUGCUCGUUCUCCAUCUCCAACGGCAGCUUCAUCUUAGCCAACGACUCGGUAAAUUGCUGCAUACUCUUCAUGUACAAGUCCACAAAGUCUUGCUGCACCACUUUUUGAUCGAGCUCAAAGUUCAUCGACACUGCAGGUUGGUUCGGGUUCGGGUUCGGGUUCGAUGAACCGCUUUCAACAGGUUUGCCUUUCGCGGGUGAAUCAGAUUCUUGAUUUGCAGAUUUCGAGUGUUUCUCGUCAUCGAUUGAUUUGGUGCUUGUAGCAGGAACCGAUUCAACCGAAGCACAUUGAGACCCGUUAGUCGACACACUUGUCAGGGGUGACUCGGGUUUUUGAUUCUCAGACACAAACGUUCCACCGUUUUCCGAGCUCGCCUGAUCAUCGGUAUCAGACGAGACGAAACUUUCCGAGCUAAUUCCGAAAUACUCCGACACCAUAAUCUCGUUUUCGUUCACAAUUUUGGGAUCCGGGAACUCGAGUUUGUCCAACUCAGAUUGGUCGGGAACCGCGGUCUUAGCUGGCGGCAGUGUCGGUGGAAUCACAAUCACAUCCGGUGACGCCCCAUUGUACGAUAAAGACAGCUGAACAAAACCCGAAGGCGAGUGGAAGAUAUCAUCCGACGAUAACGUGAAUUCCUUCUGGCGUUCCCCGUUCUUGACGAUAACAUCCGAAAGCGGGAUUAACGCAAAACCAAGCAAUUGAUCUUGGAGAUAAUUACGAACCCGACUCAUCAUAUAUAUCUCACAUUUAAGUGAAGUAUCGACCGUGGGGACAUCGAUGCAUAGGGUUUCGUUAAAAACCGGAUUUUGUCCACCCCCGUUUAUCGUUUGUGUCAUGACCGAUUUCUCAGGGUUGCAAAUGUUUUGAAUGUCCCUGGCUUGAUGAAUGUAAACCUCGAGAACACCAACCGAUGGAUCGGGCUUCUUCGAUUCGACACUCGGGUUUCGAGCGAAAUGAUCAAGAUUAUGCUUUUCGGGUCCGGAGUAGAUCUUCAAUGGUGACACUACAGAUUGAGGAGACUCCAUGAAUAAUUUAAACCUGCAAAUAAAGGUUUUUAAUUAAGAAAAUUUAAGUAAAUUAUCUUCACAAAAUCACAAAAAAAAAUGAUAAAUUUAUUAUUUAUCUGAUUAGUACAGCUUUAAGUGAUUAUCUAACUGAUCAGAUUAAAAUUAGUGACAGUUAAACUGACUUUCAAACAGAAAAGUGAAAUUACAUAAAUACCCUUCUUAGAUUAAUCAUAUCUAAAGCAAAUUCAACUAAAACCCCUAAAUUUUAAGCAGGUUUCUGAUACAAAUUUACACAUGUUCAUACUAAAAAAAAAAAAAAAAAAAAAAAUUCAGGGUUCAAAAAAUCACCAUUAACAGAACAUAAUUCAACCAUAAGAACCUCAAGAACAGUAUAAAAAUAUUAAAAAAAAAAAAAAAAGCAAUCAAGAUUCAAUAAUUGAAGGUAAAAAUCACCAUUAACAGAACAUAAUUCAACCAGAAAAACUUCAAGAACAUCAUAAAAAUCUAACCUUUAUUGUAACUGGAAACAGAGUAGCAAAUAAAAACAAAACCCUAAUCCUGAAAUUCUUGAAUUCUUGAUCACCCAACAAAAAGGCAUAUAUAUAGAGAC